GGAAUAUUGCACAAUGGGGGACACCCUUAACCAGCAACGCCGCGUGAGGGAAGACGGUCUUCGGAUUGUAAACCUUUGUCCUCUGGGAAGAUAGUGACGGUAGCAGAGGAGGAAGCUCCGGCUAACUACGUGUCAGCAGCCGCGGUAAUACGUAGGGAGCGAGCGUUGUCCGGAUUUACUGGGUGUAAAGGGUGCGUAGGCGGUUUUGCAAGUCAGAAGUGAAAUCCAUGGGCUUAACCCAUGAACUGCUUUUGAAACUGCAGGACUUGAGUGAAGUAGAGGUAGGCGGAAUUCCCGGUGUAGCGGUGAAAUGCGUAGAGAUCGGGAGGAACACCAGUGGCGAAGGCGGCCUACUGGGCUUUAACUGACGCUGAGGCACGAAAGCGUGGGUAGCAAACAGG
rnacentral:rRNA from 1 species